rnacentral:rRNA from 1 species
UACAGAGGGGGCUAGAGGUGGUUGGAAUCACUGGGCGUAAAGCGCACGUAGGCGGGGUGUUUAGUCAGAGGUGAAAGGCCGGGGCUCAACCCGGGAACGGCCUCUGAUACUGGCUCGCUCGAGUCCGAGAGGGGGUGGUGGAACUCCCAGUGUAGAGGUGACAUUCGUAGAUAUUGGGAAGAACACCGGUGGCGAAGGCGACCACCUGGCUCGGAACUGACGCUGAGGUGCGAAAGCGUGGGGAGCAAACAGG